GAUGAACGCUGGCGGCAUGCCUAACACAUGCAAGUCGAUCGGUAAGGCUCUUCGGAGUACACGAGAGGCGGACGGCUGAGUAACGCGUAGGAACACACCCUGCAGUGAGGGAUAAGACACCGGAAGGUGUUCUAAUACCGCAUACGGUCUUCGGAUUAAAGCAUUUAUGCGCUGAAGGAGUGGCCUGCGUGAUAUUAGAUAGUUGGUGAGGUAAUGGCUCACCAAGUCGAUGAUGUGUAGCUGGUCUGAGAGGAUGAUCAGCCAGACUGGAACUGAGACACGGUCCAGACUCCUACGGGAGGCAGCAGUGAGGAAUAUUUCACAAUGAGCGAAAGCUUGAUGGAGCAAUGCCGCGUGCAGGAUGAAGGCCCUCGGGUUGUAAACUGCUUUUAUAAGAGAAGAUUAUGACGGUAACUUAUGAAUAAGGGACGGCUAACUACGUG
rnacentral:rRNA from 1 species